AUUGAACGCUGGCGGCAGGCCUAACACAUGCAAGUCGAGCGGAUGAAGGGAGCUUGCUCCUGGAUUCAGCGGCGGACGGGUGAGUAAUGCCUAGGAAUCUGCCUGGCAGUAGGGGAUAACGUCCGGAAACGGGCGCUAAUACCGCAUACGUCCUGAGGGUGAAAGUGGGGGAUCUUCGGACCUCACGCUAUCAGAUGAGCCUAGGUCGGAUUAGCUAGUUGGUGGGGUAAAGGCCUACCAAGGCGACGAUCCGUAACUGGUCUGAGAGGAUGAUCAGUCACACUGGAACUGAGACACGGUCCAGACUCCUACGGGAGGCAGCAGUGGGGAAUAUUGGACAAUGGGCGAAAGCCUGAUCCAGCCAUGCCGCGUGUGUGAAGAAGGUCUUCGGAUUGUAAAGCACUUUAAGUUGGGAGGAAGGGCAGUAAGUUAAUACCUUGCUGUUUUGACGUUACCAACAGAAUAAGCACCGGCUAACUUCGUG
rnacentral:rRNA from 1 species